CUUUAGAAAAUAAAAUACAGAUUGUGGGUGCAGGGGUACAUUUUUUUUACAGUGUUGAUAUUUGGGGCAGUGACUUCAAGCAUCAAAAAGGAGAUUAAGCUUGGUAGUGUUAACUCUUAUAAAGACUUGGGUUUACCUUUACCCUCCGACCCACUGCAAUGGAGACUAGGAGGGUUGUUGACACACUGUAGGGGGAAGGCUGGAAGGCUGGUGGUUUUCCUGGCGAUCCUUUUUGUUUUAGCUUGAGAUGAGGUGGAGGUAGAGGUCGGGUUACAGGUGGUGGUUGAGGUGGACUGGGUGGUAUCGAGGUGGGUGGAGGUGGGCUGGGUGGUAUCAAGGUGGGUGGAGGUAGAGGUGGGGUUACAGGUGGUUGAGGUGGACUGGGUGGUAUCAAGGUGGGUUGAGGUAGAGGUGGGCUGGGUGGUAUCGAGGUGGGCGGAGGUAGAGGUGGACUGGGUGGUAUCGAGGUGGGUGAAGGUAGAGGUGGACUGGGUGGUAUCGAGGUGGGUGGAGGUAGAGGUGGACUGGGUGGUAUCGAGGUGGGUGAAGGUAGAGGUGGACUGGGUGGUAUCGAGGUGGGUGGAGGUUGAGGUGGACUGGGUGGUAUCGAGGUGGGUGGAGGUAGAGGUGGACUGGGUGGUAUCGAGGUGGGUGGAGGUAGAGGUGGACUGGGUGGUAUCGAGGUGGGUGGAGGUAGAGGUGGGCUGGGUGGCAUCGAGGUGGGUGGAGGUAGAGGUGGACUGGGUGGUAUCGAGGUGGGUGGUGGUUGAGGUGGACUGGGUGGUAUCGAGGUGGGUGGAGGUUGAGGUGGGCUGGGUGGUAUCGAGGUGGGUGGAGGUAGAGGUGGGCUGGGUGGUAUCGAGGUGGGUGGAGGUAGAGGUGGGGUUACAGGUGGUUGAGGUGGACUGGGUGGUAUCGAGGUGGGUGGAGGUAGAGGUGGACUGGGUGGUAUCGAGGUGGGCGGAGGUAGAGGUGGGGUUACAGGUGGUUGAGGUGGACUGGGUGGUAUCGAGGUGGGUGGAGGUAGAGGUGGACUGGAUGGUAUCGAGGUAGGUGGAGGUAGAGGUGGACUGGGUGGUAUCGAGGUGGGCGGAGGUAGAGGUGGGGUUACAGGUGGUGGUGGUCCCUCCUUCCUUCAGUCUCU
rnacentral:lncRNA from 1 species